GAUGAACGCUGGCGGCGUGCCUAAUACAUGCAAGUCGAGCGAACGGACGAGAAGCUUGCUUCUCUGAUGUUAGCGGCGGACGGGUGAGUAACACGUGGAUAACCUAUCUUUAAGGCUGGGAUAACUUCGGGAAACCGUAGCUAAUACCGGAUAAUAUUUUGAACCGCAUGGUUCUAAAGUGAAAGACGGUCUUGCUGUCACUUAUAGAUGGAUCCGCGCUGCAUUAGCUAGUUGGUAAGGUAACGGCGUACCAAGGCAACGAUGCGUAGCCGACCUGAGAGGGUGAUCGGCCACACUGGAACUGAGACACGGUCCAGACUCCUACGGGAGGCAGCAGUGGGGAAUAUUCGGCAAUGGGCGAAAGCCUGACGCAGCAACGCCGCGUGAGUGAUGAAGGCCUUCGGAUCGUAAAACACUGUUAUUAGGGAAGAACAGAUGUAUAAGUAACUGUGCACAUCUUGACGGUACCAAAACAGAAAGCAACGGCUAACUACGUG
rnacentral:rRNA from 1 species